rnacentral:rRNA from 1 species
CAAUAGCGUAUAUUAAAGUUGUUGCGGUUAAAAAGCUCGUAGUUGGAGUUCUGCCAGGUGCCGCCUGUCCGCCCCAGUGGUGAGUACGUGGCGCGCAUUUGGCCCUUUCAAGGGGAGCGUAUCUGCACUUUAUUGUGUGGUGCGGGAUCCUUGACUUUUACUUUGAGGAAAUAGGAGUGUUCCAAGCAGGCUCUCGUCGUGCACAGCUCAGCAUGGAAUAAUAGCAUUGGACCUCGAUUCUAAGCUGUUGGUUGCCAGAAGCGAGGUAAUGAUGAAGAGGGAUAGUUGGGGGCAUUCGUAUUUAACUGUCAGAGGUGAAAUUCUUGGAUUUGUUAAAGACGGACUACUGCGAGAGCAUCUGCCAUGGAUGUUUUCAUUGA